GGAGGUAGUGACAAUAAAUCACAAUGCGGAACUUCUGUUUUGCAAUUGGAUUGAGAACAACGCACAACACUUAUCGAUAAACAAUUGGAGGGCAAGUCUGGUGCCAGCAGCCGCGGUAAUUCCAGCUCCAAUAGCGUAUAUUAACGUUGUUGCAGUUAAAAAGCUCGUAGUUGAAGUGAAGUGUGAAUCCUAUAGAUUUUCGUUUGAAUUUCUAUUUGCUUCAUACUCUUUCCAAAUAGUUUGCAUGGGUAUUCAUUUAUCUGUGUAUUGCAUUUGGUCAUUUACUGUGAGAAAAUUAGAGUGUUCAAAGCAUACGUUUGUUUGAAUACAUUAGCAUGGAAUAAUUCGAAAAGGCUUUCAUGUUCGAUUUGAUUGGUUUGUUCGUGAAGGCAAGAUUAAAAGGGACAGUUGGGGGUAUUCAUAUUCAAUAGUCAGAGGUGAAAUUCUCGGAUUUAUGGAAGAUGAACAAGUGCGAAAGCA
rnacentral:rRNA from 1 species